AUGAUCCCCUUUGCACUGUAAAAGACGACAGAAAAGUCUGUGGGGGUGCGUGCAUUCGUGCUUCAUAGUUCAAGGCAAGCCUGUGUUGAAUCUGGCAAAUUCCGGCUUAACGAAACGCUUUACAUUGGUGGCUGUAUACAUUAGUUUCAAAAUGAGCCUGGAUACUUUCUUUAAGCAGAUUUUACUGACUGAGCAGCAGGUGUCAGAGAACUGUCGAAAGCUUCAAGAAGCGAAGUUUGCCAUUGCAAAUGGUCAAGAACAGGUUAAAGUCCAUAGAGAACAGCUGGGCGGCCUAACUGAAGAAUUAAACAAAAAGGGUUACCUUCUUACUGAGCUGACUUUGCAGCGUAACCUUCUAAAACAGCUCAGUGAGGAGCUGGAAAGCAGAAGAAAUGAGAUUCAACUGCAGCAGCAGAGGCUCAGGGAUGAUCAGGAGACACUGAAGAACUGGGAGGUGGAAGAACAAAAGGCAUUCCUGGCGGAAGUCAGAGUGUUCAACAGUGAGAAUUGUGUGCUCAGUCGGAGGCACACGGCCCGGCAUCAUAAAAACUCUGCUGAAAUGAUCAGAGUGACCCAGGAGGCCCAUGACUUGUGUAAAGUCUCAAGUAAGCCAAAUAAGAGGAAGAAGCAGUGAAACUGGGCCACAUACAAUAUUAUGUCCCUUCUUCGCCAUUGUCAAAUGCUGCUCAAGCAAGUUGUCGGUGACAUUGGGCCCUUCAGUUGAUAUUCGACACCCAAUGUGGCCCUUGGACCAAAACAAUUGUCCACCCCUGCUGAAGCCUCAUGUCACGUCUUAUUCUGUUAUAAGGGACUGCUUGAGUGUAUUUGAGCAGCUCUGAACAGUAUCUUAAUAGAGUGACAGUCAAGGUCAGUCCAGAUUAAUUAUAGAAGUGUAUGCCUGCGUGAGGGGCCAGUGGAAGCCAAAAUAAAUGCCCAGGACGUUUAUUGGUCCCAGUCCAGCUGUGGGCAAAUUUCAGGCAGCGUCUGGUCUGUGCUGUUUCAGCGUGUAGUGGGAAGUGUAGCCAGUGCCACUGCAGAUCACGGUCAUGAUAAUAGACAGACGCCUGAUAACUACAGACACAACAAGAGCAAUUCAGUGGAAGACUCUCUUGAAUUCCAACAUCACAUCACAUCACAUAAUGAAAUUGGGUUAAUAUUAGAUCAUGUAUUUAGUGGGGGUAACAUAGCCUGAUAAACCAGCCUAAAUGGAUUGGAUGUCUGCGCCCAGCAGUUGGCGCUGGUUUUCCAGGCUAGGGGUAACACACAAUUUCAAAAUUGAGUGGUGAUCAUUGCCAACUGAUGUUAUGUUGGAAUGGAAAGACAUAUUCUGUAUGAAUUUUGGCAUUCUAUAAUCCUAUAAUUUGAU